CUUCGUUCUUCACUCUUUAGUUCUAGUCAUCUCCAUCCAAUUGUGCGCGGCAGCCUUGCCGUCUUGAAUCUUGCCUCUCAGGUUCACACACACAAUUUAUCGUGAUAUUUUGACCAUUUUGCUUCAUUUGGAAGAAAGAGAAGGCGCCAAACAACACACACAGCCCGCGAUUUCUACUUUCUUCCUCCUUGCCGGUUUAGCCACAACACGUCGCCACCGCCCACGAUUUCUACUUUCUUCCUCCAGCUACUGAAACUUUCUUCCUCUUCGUCGGUUUAGCCACAACCCACCACCACCUACUAUUGAGAAACCAGAUCUGCAGUCGGGAAAACGGGUUGAGACAAGAUCCAAAACUCAAAAAAGGUGGAAGAAAUCUCGUGCCACCGACGACAAUGUUGGACCUAUGUAAGCUUUCUUCCUUUAUUUCCUUCAUUUUAAAAUAACGUUUAUGUACUCAUACGUGGUCAAAUUAGAAUACAAGAAUAAUUAGAAAAAAAGAUAGCUUUGAUUACUUUA